rnacentral:rRNA from 1 species
AGGAGGAAAGGUGGGUGACCUUAUUACGCUCCAUCCAAUGACGUACUCGCCGGAAAGAAAGCACCGGCUAACUCCGUGCAGCAGCCCGCGGUAAUACGGAGGGUGCAAGCGUUAUUCGGAAAUUACCUGGGCGUAAAGCGCCACGCCAGGCGGUUUGUUAAGUCAGAAUGUGAAUCUCCGGGCUCAACCUGUGAACUGCAUUUGAAACUGGCAAGCUAGAGUCUCGUAGAGGGGGGUAGAAUUCCAGGUGUAGCGCUGAAAUGCGUAGAGAUCUGGAGGAAUACCGGUGGCGAAAGGCGGCCCCCUGGACGAAGACUGACGCUCAGGUGCGAAAGCGUGGGGAGCAAAACAGGAUUAGAUACCCUGGUAGUGCACGCUGUAAACGAUGUCGAUUUGGAGGUUGUGCCCUUGAGGCGUGGCUUCCGGAGCUAACGCGUUAAAUCGACCGCCUGGGGAGUACGGCCGCAAGGUUAAAACUCAAAUGAAUUGACGGGGGCCCGCACAAGCGGUGGAGCAUGUGGUUUAAUUCGAUGCAACGCGAAGAACCUUACCUACUCUUGACAUCCAGAGAACUUAGCAGAGAUGCUUUGGUGCCUUCGGGAACUCUGAGACAGGUGCUGCAUGGCUGUCGUCAGCUCGUGUUGUGAAAUGUUGGGUUAAGUCCCGCAACGAGCGCAACCCUUAUCCUUUGUUGCCAGCGGUUCGGCCGGGAACUCAAAGGAGACUGCCAGUGAUAAACUGGAGGAAGGUGGGGAUGACGUCAAGUCAUCAUGGCCCUUACGAGUAGGGCUACACACGUGCUACAAUGGCGUAUACAAAGAGAAGCGACCUCGCGAGAGCAAGCGGACCUCAUAAAGUACGUCGUAGUCCGGAUUGGAGUCUGCAACUCG